CACACCGCUCGUCACACCAUGGGAGUCAGUUGCUCCAGAAACGGCUGCGCUAACCCGCAAGGGGGGCAGGUCUUUAAGGAGUGGCUGGUAACUGGGGUG
rnacentral:rRNA from 1 species